rnacentral:rRNA from 1 species
AGAGUUUGAUCCUGGCUCAGGACGAACGCUGGCGGCGUGCUUAACACAUGCAAGUCGAGCGAUGAAGCUUCCUUCGGGAAGUGGAUUAGCGGCGGACGGGUGAGUAACACGUGGGUAACCUGCCUCAAAGUGGGGGAUAGCCUUCCGAAAGGAAGAUUAAUACCGCAUAAUAUAAGAGAAUCGCAUGAUUUUUUUAUCAAAGAUUUAUUGCUUUGAGAUGGACCCGCGGCGCAUUAGCUAGUUGGUAAGGUAACGGCUUACCAAGGCAACGAUGCGUAGCCGACCUGAGAGGGUGAUCGGCCACAUUGGAACUGAGACACGGUCCAGACUCCUACGGGAGGCAGCAGUGGGGAAUAUUGCGCAAUGGGGGAAACCCUGACGCAGCAACGCCGCGUGGGUGAUGAAGGUCUUCGGAUUGUAAAGCCCUGUUUUCUAGGACGAUAAUGACGGUACUAGAGGAGGAAGCCACGGCUAACUACGUGCCAGCAGCCGCGGUAAUACGUAGGUGGCGAGCGUUGUCCGGAUUUACUGGGCGUAAAGGGUACGUAGGCGGAUGUUUAAGUGGGAUGUGAAAUCCCCGGGCUUAACCUGGGGGCUGCAUUCCAAACUGGAUAUCUAGAGUGCAGGAGAGGAAAGCGGAAUUCCUAGUGUAGCGGUGAAAUGCGUAGAGAUUAGGAAGAACACCAGUGGCGAAGGCGGCUUUCUGGACUGUAACUGACGCUGAGGCACGAAAGCGUGGGUAGCAAACAGGAUUAGAUACCCUGGUAGUCCACGCCGUAAACGAUGGAUACUAGGUGUAGGGGGUAUCAACUCCCCCUGUGCCGCAGUUAACACAAUAAGUAUCCCGCCUGGGGAGUACGGUCGCAAGAUUAAAACUCAAAGGAAUUGACGGGGGCCCGCACAAGCAGCGGAGCAUGUGGUUUAAUUCGAAGCAACGCGAAGAACCUUACCUGGACUUGACAUCCCUUGCAUAGCCUAGAGAUAGGUGAAGCCCUUCGGGGCAAGGAGACAGGUGGUGCAUGGUUGUCGUCAGCUCGUGUCGUGAGAUGUUAGGUUAAGUCCUGCAACGAGCGCAACCCUUGUUAUUAGUUGCUACCAUUAAGUUGAGCACUCUAAUGAGACUGCCUGGGUAACCAGGAGGAAGGUGGGGAUGACGUCAAAUCAUCAUGCCCCUUAUGUCCAGGGCUACACACGUGCUACAAUGGUAGGUACAAUAAGACGCAAGACCGUGAGGUGGAGCAAAACUUAUAAAACCUAUCUCAGUUCGGAUUGUAGGCUGCAACUCGCCUACAUGAAGCUGGAGUUGCUAGUAAUCGCGAAUCAGAAUGUCGCGGUGAAUACGUUCCCGGGCCUUGUACACACCGCCCGUCACACCAUGAGAGCUGGUAACACCCGAAGUCCGUGAGGUAACCGUAAGGAACCAGCGGCCGAAGGUGGGAUUAGUGAUUGGGGUGAAGUCGUAACAAGGUAGCCGUAGGAGAACCUGCGGCUGGAUCACCU